rnacentral:rRNA from 1 species
AGAGUUUGAUCCUGGCUCAGGACGAACGCUGGCGGCGUGCUUAACACAUGCAAGUCGAACGAUGAACCGGGUGCUUGCACCUGGGGAUUAGUGGCGAACGGGUGAGUAACACGUGAGUAACCUGCCCUGGACUCUGGGAUAACCCCGAGAAAUCGGAGCUAAUACCGGAUAGGACCUGGAACCGCAUGGUUUUGGGUGGAAAGUUUUUCGGUCUGGGAUGGACUCGCGGCCUAUCAGCUUGUUGGUGAGGUAAUGGCUCACCAAGGCGUCGACGGGUAGCCGGCCUGAGAGGGUGACCGGCCACACUGGGACUGAGACACGGCCCAGACUCCUACGGGAGGCAGCAGUGGGGAAUAUUGCACAAUGGGCGCAAGCCUGAUGCAGCAACGCCGCGUGAGGGAUGACGGCCUUCGGGUUGUAAACCUCUUUUAGUAGGGAAGAAGGGCUUCGGCUUGACGGUACCUGCAGAAAAAGCACCGGCUAACUACGUGCCAGCAGCCGCGGUAAUACGUAGGGUGCGAGCGUUGUCCGGAAUUAUUGGGCGUAAAGAGCUCGUAGGCGGUUUGUCACGUCUGCUGUGAAAUCCCGAGGCUCAACCCUCGGGCCUGCAGUGGGUACGGGCAGACUGGAGUGCGGUAGGGGAGAAUGGAAUUCCUGGUGUAGCGGUGGAAUGCGCAGAUAUCAGGAGGAACACCGAUGGCGAAGGCAGUUCUCUGGGCCGUAACUGACGCUGAGGAGCGAAAGCGUGGGGAGCGAACAGGAUUAGAUACCCUGGUAGUCCACGCCGUAAACGUUGGGCG